UAUUCUGCCCUACGGGGAAGGAUGAGAAGCUUCGACUAAGGUUCGACUCGAGCGUAGCGAGAGAACGUUGCCGAAGGCAACGGCCCGAAGGGCGAGGCGCUUUAGCGCCGAGUUAUCCUUCCCCCACCGCUG
rnacentral:sRNA from 1 species